rnacentral:lncRNA from 13 species
AUGAGAGACCUAAAGGAUGAAGUAGUCAAAUGUUCUCCAAAUCCUGAGCAAAUCAGCUUUGUGUUGGAGAGGAGUUGUCUUCCACCCCCACAAAGGAAUUUCAGAGGUAUCAUGUCUCAAUCCAUUAUGUUCAAGUACAUUAUGCAGCAUAGUUCCUUGCUGACUUGCCACGGGUCAGUUAUCAACUGUUUGGGUUGGAAAGGAUCCUGGAGAUCAGGCAGUUCCAGCCCACACGCCAUGCGCAGGGACACCUUCCACACCAGACUGCUCCAAGCCUCAUCCAGCCUGACCUUGAAUGCUUCCAGAGAGGAGGCAUCCACAACUGUUCAAAGCAACCUGUUCCAGUGCCUCACCAUCCUCACAGUUACAGCUGUCUGCCAAAGGCCCAAGGCUUCCUACUUUAAAACUCUUUAA